UAUGGCUCAGUCUCACUCUACAGAAGAACGAGAGAGGUUCGUCCGAAGAAGUAAGCUGGACUUGAAACGUACUGCGCCGCAUGGAUGCAUACUGCAAAAUAUAUUUUGCUUCUGAUUUCUAUUUAGACCUAAUUUAUUCGCUGAUAUUUUACAUUUUCCCAGCAGUGUUUUCCCAGGUCCGUCGCGAGGAUUCUUGGAAUGCGUCAAGAAGUUUCAAACCCCAACGCGCGUAUUUUAUUUUGCACUAAAUCUAUAAUAAUAUAAAUGAAAAGAUGUCUCCAUGGUGUGGAUUAGAGAACCUCCCUGUGGAUCAUUUUGUGGAAUACUCACCUCUUGUAAUGAGUGAUGUCCCAGUCCAACUGCGGGACAUGUGGGACAGACCCCUCCUCAUGGGAUAGCAACAUCCUCAUGCUUGUACUCUUCUGGAUGCGAUUGAUUUGAAGACACGGAGAAUGGAAUAUUUUCUCAUAUCUUGGAAUAUUCUUAUUGAUACUACCUAUCUGCCGGGCGAGCUCAUGGAGCAUCACCUGGUCAAGCAGAAAUGGAAUCCAAAUUCCGAAGAGACGUUAAGCCUCGAUGGCUCUCGCAGAUACGGCGUUCGACCUGACGGCAAAAACAAGAGGAGUGCCAGAUGAGCAUCCAUCACAACAGAAGAAAUCUGUGCUUCCCCCUUCACUUGGGAACCUGAAUCGAAGAUGUUAUCGGGUGAGCGAGAGCGAGCUGGAGACGUGAUCUCAAGGACUUCCCCAGGAUCAAGAGUAAGUCCCAGUUUGGACGCUGCCAGGACUCGUGCGGCCAGAUGUUUUCUCCUGGCGGGCGAGCCGUCCCACAAGCAUGCGCUCCAUCACUGACAACGUCGCCCUCAAGAUCCAGCUUCGGCUUCUUGGACCGGGAGAAGCUUUGACGUAGACGCAGCGGGACAGCCGGGAGGUUUCAGUUUUGGAGAAUUUAUGAAAGAGAUCAGUCAAAACGAAAAAAAAAGGGAAGCCAAGACGGUGAAUGCGCCGCGCGUUUACCAGCGCUGACCGCGAUGGACGGACAUAUUGUUUGACUUAUUCUACACUGAGCCCGGAUUAAUAUUUUCCCGUACGGACAUCUGCUUUUCAUACUCGCGCUCUCGCUGCAACGCUGCCGAUGUCACAUCCACGGCGGGCGUUAUCCGGUAUACAUCAACAAGCGCUGGAACGGCCAAAGGAAAAUAAUCAGACGUUAUUUUCAUUCUCCUACGGAGAUCCGAGCCAGUAUUUAGACCGCGGUGACUGGUCAAGGCCGGCUGAUGGAGAACCCUGCAAAAAAGAAAGAAACAAAAAACAUCACGAGCCUUUGCUUAGCUUUUUGAAAUAUUUUUGGGGAUAAUGUAAUCAAUAUGUUUUGUCACUGCAGCGGUGUGUCAUUGUCAAACAGUUUGUAAGUGGAGUCAAUUAGAUUGUAAUUGGAAUCAACCAUGAAAUAAUUGGAGUGUAUCGUAUUAUGAUCUUAACAAAAUUGGAAAGUAUCAUUUUAUAAUAAAUUUUGUUGAAUUUUGUUAUUUA